GAUGAACGCUAGCGGCAGGCCUAAUACAUGCAAGUCGAACGGGAUCCAGAUCAAAGCUUGCUUUGGUUUGGUGAGAGUGGCGUACGGGUGCGUAACGCGUGAGCAACCUACCCUUGUCAGGGGGAUAGCCCGGCGAAAGUCGGAUUAAUACCGCAUGACAUCAUUGAGAGGCAUCUUUCGAUGAUCAAAGAUUUAUCGGACAAGGAUGGGCUCGCGUGACAUUAGCUAGGUGGUAAGGUAACGGCUUACCAAGGCUACGAUGUCAAGGGGCACUGAGAGGAGACUCCCCCACACUGGUACUGAGACACGGACCAGACUCCUACGGGAGGCAGCAGUAAGGAAUAUUGGUCAAUGGACGGAAGUCUGAACCAGCCAUGCCGCGUGCAGGAAGACGGCCCUAUGGGUUGUAAACUGCUUUUAUACGGGAACAAACGUCGGUACGUGUACCGGUCUGAGUGUACCGUAAGAAUAAGGAUCGGCUAACUCCGUG
rnacentral:rRNA from 1 species